GGAAGUCCAUCCUAUAGAUGAAGAUCCCAUCGAUUUCGCUGAAAUCAAAGAUAGACCGGAAGCUUAUCCUUUCGACAUGUUACUCGAUUCGAACCUUCGCCACAUUACCAUUCCGGAAGAGAGCGACUUCCAGAGGCAAGCUUCUCAGAAGUCAUUGAAUAGAUUGAACUGCAUUCGCAACGACGACAAUGCAUCACAAGAUGUGGAUGAAUCUGGGGUAACACCGCAAGCUAGAAAACUGACCAGAAUGCUCAGUGG
rnacentral:lncRNA from 1 species